GCGGAUGUUGCUGCAGUGAGCCGAGAUUCCACCAAAACUGCACUCCAGCCUGGGACCCCGUUUCAAAAAAAAAGAGAAGAGAUUACCUAGAUUACCUACACUAAUAUAGAGGGGAGUAAUAAACACAAGCACUUCAAUUAUCAGAAACAUGGGAAUAUCUUUCAGGUAUAAAUGCACACAAUUGGUUUUCAAAAGGUGAGUAUUAUAUUUUGGAGUAUGUUGAUAUAACAACAUUGUUUUUUAAAAAGUUAAUUCUAGAGGUAGUAGAAAAAAUCUUUAUAGGGAAUUUGGGCUUUGAGAACAUUUUGGAAGGAGGAGAAAAAGGAGGAGGAGCGGGGGGAGAAGAAGAAAAAGGAGGAUGAAUAUAUGGAGGGUAUUUGAAUGAGACAAAGGUGUAAGACAAGUAUUUCUCGAUGUUGAGAGUCACAAGUGGACAAGCAUGUAGUGUUAUUUGGGUUAUUUAUAAAUGAUAAUAUAACAAUAUAUACUAUUUUAUAAUGCUUUAAUAGAGACCAUGGUGAUGUAAGAUUGGAAUGGUUUAUCCGAGAAGGUGGGCAGUAAGUUGAAUGUGGUACACGGAGGAUUGAAGAUGGCUAUACUGGCUGAUAGUUGAGAUGGAAAUUUCUGAAAUAGAAACUAGUAAGAUUGACCAUUCUUGUUUAAUAAGGGGCAAUCAGACGCUCUAGGAGUGGAAAUUCUUGCAGGCUAGAGGGAUAUGAGUUACGCAGUACCAGUGGCAGGCAAAAAAGACUAUCCCAGUAUUGUGAAGAGAUACCAUGGACUUCAAAGUCAGCAAAGUCGAAUAUUGCUGAAAUCAGGGUUUCAGUUGUGUCAGGGCCUGCUAGUGACUGCAUUUACCUCUCUAGUCCCCAAAAGAGUGCUGGCACAUAGUAUGUCCUGAACAAAUACUUGUAGAAUACAUAGACUAGGCAUUUGUGGCUGCAUCAGGAAGAAUCAGAGAAAUCUGAUACUAUUAUGGAGGAGGAAGAGUAAAAUUUUCCAAUAAGAACAAAUACAAAGUCAAAGGAGAGUCUUCAUUUGAAGGUUGUCAAGAUGACAGAUUUAACUGUAUUUCCCCAGGAGCUGAUGGUGUUGGAGGGCAAUGGGAUUGGAGCCUGAAUAGAAAACAUCUGGGGAUGUGAGGCGUGCCCUCAAGCAGUCAUGUUUCCUUUUAGUGUUGGUUCUGGAACUCAUUUAGAUACUUUGACAUUUUUGUGCUUCCGUAGUGUUAGAGUCAAAGACCUUGAGGUUCUCUGAAGAUUCAUUUCCUAUGAUGCGGCAAUCUCUAGCACAGUGUUCACAUUCCAAGAAGUGCUUAAUAUUUAACAUGCUCUGACUUCCUUAAUCACCUUUCAAUAUCAGAAUCCUGUGCUUUAUCAGAUAAGCCUUUUUAGCCUAUGGCAGGUGAUAUUGUUUCAUCCAAUCACAAGGCGUUCAACUCGGAUGAUGUUGUCUUCAGUGCUGAAUCAGGAUCUUUCACCAAAUUCACAUGUCCUGUCCCUUGCCCACUAAGGAAGUUACAGAAAAGUUGCAAGAAAGUUUUGAACUGAUCGAUGACCUAGCUACAUAAAGGCAACGAUGCUGCAUUAGCAACAAACCAUGCCCUCCAGUGUCUUACUGGGAUUGGUCUAUCAGAGAUUGGGUCUUGUGAUGUUUCCCAGGCUGGUCUUGAACUCCUGGCCUCAAGCAAUACCCCCACCUUGGUCUCUCAAAGCACUGGGAUUACAGGUAUGAGAGUCACUCAAACCCAGCUAAGUCUUACACUUUUUAUAAAUUCAUUUCAGCAUUACUUUUUUGACUAAAUAUAUAUCUGGUUUCUAAUAUUUCAGUGACAUGAGUUCUUUAUAUAUUCUGGAUAAAAGUUCUUUGCCAUAUAUAUGAUUUUCAGGAUAUCCUAGUCUGUGGCUUGUCAUUUCACUUCCUUAAUGACAUCAUUUUAAGUGCAAAUAAUUUUAAUUUUGAUGAAGUCUAUUUUACUAUUUUUGGGCAUCACAUCUAAGAACUCUUUGUCUAACUGAAAGUCAUAAAGACUUUAUUCUAUUAUUUAAAAGUUUUCUAAUUUUAGCCUUUAUAUGUAGGUCUAUGAUCCAUUUAUAGUAAAUUAUUAUGUAUGGUGUGAGGUAGUGAUCUAAAUUUAAAUCCAUGUUGCAUAUGGAUAUCUAAUUGUCCCAGAACUAUUUGUUGAAAAGACUAUCCAUUUCCCACUGAAUUGGCUUGACACCUUUGUCAAAAAUCAAUUGGCCAUAAAUAUAAGGAUCUAUUUCUGGACUCUCACUUCUGUUCCACUGAUCCAUUAGUAUAUACUGAUAGGCUAAUAUCAGAUAACUUUAGAUAUAUUGGUAUGUUAGUCUUUAGCCAAGAGAGGCAUUACCAAUUAGUAACUGAUUCUAAGAUUUGUGACACUGUCCAUCUGGAAUAUGCACUGAAGAGUUUUUGUAUUUUUGUUUUUCUUUUUAACAGCAAAAAGAAAUCUCUGUAAGCUUUCCUUCCUCAUAUCUUCACUCUCUCUGACAUUUUCUUAAUUUCACAUUCAAUAUAUGUAUACAUACAUUUUAAAAGAAAAGAGAUAUAGACAUUUACCAUUGGAAAACAUUUUGAUUCGGGUUCUGUAAAAUGACAAAGGAUUGAUUCAGCAGUUAAGGGUGCCCUAACCAGUUUAAACAUCUGAUAUUCUGGGAGGUCUUAGGUGAUUGAAGAUUGAGAUUAAAAUCUCUGGUUUAGUUAGGUUUUCUUUUUAAAUUGUUCAUACUUUUUUUCAUUGUACUUAUAUUUUCCCUCAAGUUUUCCCUCAAGUUUUGAAUGCUUGCCUUCCCUUCUCUUAAGGCAAAUUCCUGGAAUUUGAAAUGCUGAAUUCAAGAAGGAUAAACAUUUCAUUAUGUCAAAGUGAUAAAAAUAAGCAUUUAUUUUUCUAACUCAA